AAAAAAUGGACUUGGUGGGUCUUUGAAUUUAAAUAAAAUAAACAUGUAUAUGCAACACAAAAUAUUUAUAUUCCUUGUGUAAACAUAAUUUAAUUGAUUAGGAUGAAAAUGUUUUGUUUGAAUGUAAAAUGAACACAUUAUUCUCACAUUGAUUAAAAUUGAUUGAAUUGAAUACUUAAUGCAAUAAAAUUGAGUUUGCAUACAAAAUGGCACCUCCUGAGCAGAAGGUGGCAGUAACGCUCAAUGAAAAGGACGUCAACUGCCAUAAAAGAAGAAUAAACAUCGUUUGUUUUGGGCGCCAAAAUGAGCAGCAGUCAGUCAGAAGAACUCUCUCAGACGGACACCACGUUAUUAAAGUCCAUCAUCCUUGCACACACUCAAAAGCAUUGAUAAAUGCUGAAUUUAAAAGAAUCACUACUGUCUAAUGUUCCUGUGUCACCUGGACCUCCAAUCCAAAAACCUGACGAAACUCUUCUAUCAGAAAGGAGGACAUCUAGCAAAAAGACUUGGAACAAUCAAUGAUCAAAUGACAGAAGUAAGUAAUAUAGAUUCAUAGACAUAAAAAUGUGUAAACCUUGUUGGAAGUACAGAAAAUGUAGUAUGUUUUAGUUACAUCUUUUGGCACAAGGGUCAUUAAAACACCUGGGAAGAUUUAAAGGGGUAGUUCACCCAAAAAUAAAAAUUCUCAUCACUUACUCUCUAUCAUGUUGUUACAAACCUUUAUAAAUGUCUUUGUUCUGAUGAACACUAAGGAAGAUAUUUUGAGGAAUGUUUGUACCCAAACCAAUCAUAAGCCCCAUUCACUUCCAUAGUGGGGAAAUAUAAUACUAUGGAAGUGAAUGGGGCUCAUGAACAGUUUGGUUGCAAACAUUCCUCAAAAUAAAUGUCUUCCUUCGUGUUCAUCAGAACAAAGACAUUUAUACAGGUCUGUAACAAC